rnacentral:rRNA from 1 species
AUUGAACGCUGGCGGCAGGCUUAACACAUGCAAGUCGAACGGUAACAUGAAGAAGCUUGCUUCUUUGAUGACGAGUGGCGGACGGGUGAGUAAUGCUUGGGAAUCUAGCUUAUGGAGGGGGAUAACUACGGGAAACUGUAGCUAAUACCGCGUAGUAUCGAGAGAUGAAAGUGUGGGACCUUCGGGCCACAUGCCAUAGGAUGAGCCCAAGUGGGAUUAGGUAGUUGGUGAGGUAAAGGCUCACCAAGCCGACGAUCUCUAGCUGGUCUGAGAGGACGACCAGCCACACUGGGACUGAGACACGGCCCAGACUCCUACGGGAGGCAGCAGUGGGGAAUAUUGCGCAAUGGGGGCAACCCUGACGCAGCCAUGCCGCGUGAAUGAAGAAGGCCUUCGGGUUGUAAAGUUCUUUCGGUAGCGAGGAAGGCAUUUAGUUUAAUAGACUAGGUGAUUGAC